rnacentral:lncRNA from 1 species
CUGAAGUGGAAUAUGACCUAUAGUUUAGGAUAAUAAAUCAUAUUUAAGCCUAAUUUUUUUACAUGAAUUCAUAAAAUUCAUAUAUUUUAUUGACAUCACAAAAAAAGGGAAAGUCAAAUGCCCUUAAUUAAUGAAAAUAAGUAUAACAACUAAUAUACUUAAUUGAAAACAACAGUGACUGAAUAAAUCGCCGAACACCUUUUGUGCAUUCAUUGGAGCGCCAUAUCCACUAUUAUACAUCUGACCCACCAACACUUGCAUGGUUGUGUCGCCCGCUUUGGCCUCCUUCAGGGUGUCUUGAAACCACCGUCGCGCGCAAUCGGAGACCUUCGACGCCAGCGGCAAUCUUUCCCGUAUCUCUGACGAGAGCGAAGUAGUGAACGAAGAAACCUAAAUCUAUUUGGAAAGUGAAAAGUGACCAAAUCUGAAGAGUGAGUGGAGAGAAGUGAGAACUGAUCUAUAAAAAUUAAAAUUAAU